rnacentral:rRNA from 1 species
UGGGGAAUAUUGCACAAUGGGCGCAAGCCUGAUGCAGCCAUGCCGCGUGUAUGAAGAAGGCCUUCGGGUUGUAAAGUACUUUCAGUCGGGAGGAAGGUGGUAAGGUUAAUAACCUUGGCAAUUGACGUUACCGACAGAAGAAGCACCGGCUAACUCCGUGCCAGCAGCCGCGGUAAUACGGAGGGUGCAAGCGUUAAUCGGAAUUACUGGGCGUAAAGCGCACGCAGGCGGUUGAUUGAGUCAGAUGUGAAAUCCCCGGGCUUAACCCGGGAAUUGCAUCUGAUACUGGUCAGCUAGAGUCUUGUAGAGGGGAGGAGAAUUCCAUGUGUAGCGGUGAAAUGCGUAGAGAUGUGGAGGAAUACCGGUGGCGAAGGCGGCCCCCUGGACAAAGACUGACGCUCAGGUGCGAAAGCGUGGGGAGCAAACAGG